GAUGAACGCUGGCGGCGUGCCUAAUACAUGCAAGUCGAGCGAACGGACGAGAAGCUUGCUUCUCUGAUGUUAGCGGCGGACGGGUGAGUAACACGUGGAUAACCUACCUAUAAGACUGGGAUAACUUCGGAAAACCGGAGCUAAUACCGGAUAAUAUUUUGAACCGCAUGGUUCAAAAGUGAAAGACGGUCUUGCUGUCACUUAUAGAUGGAUCCGCGCUGCAUUAGCUAGUUGGUAAGGUAACGGCUUACCAAGGCAACGAUGCAUAGCCGACCUGAGAGGGUGAUCGGCCACACUGGAACUGAGACACGGUCCAGACUCCUACGGGAGGCAGCAGUAGGGAAUCUUCCGCAAUGGGCGAAGGCCUGACGGAGCAACGCCGCGUGAGUGAUGAAGGUCUUCGGAUCGUAAAACUCUGUUAUUAGGGAAGAACAUAUGUGUAAGUAACUGUGCACAUCUUGACGGUACCUAAUCAGAAAGCCACGGCUAACUACGUG
rnacentral:rRNA from 1 species